rnacentral:rRNA from 1 species
AGAGUUUGAUCCUGGCUCAGGAUGAACGCUAGCUACAGGCUUAACACAUGCAAGUCGAGGGGAAACGAUAUUGGAAGCUUGCUUCCGAUAGGCGUCGACCGGCGCACGGGUGAGUAACGCGUAUCCAACCUGCCCACCACUUGGGGAUAACCUUGCGAAAGUAAGACUAAUACCCAAUGAUAUCUCUAGAAGACAUCUGAAAGAGAUUAAAGAUUUAUCGGUGAUGGAUGGGGAUGCGUCUGAUUAGCUUGUUGGCGGGGUAACGGCCCACCAAGGCGACGAUCAGUAGGGGUUCUGAGAGGAAGGUCCCCCACAUUGGAACUGAGACACGGUCCAAACUCCUACGGGAGGCAGCAGUGAGGAAUAUUGGUCAAUGGACGAGAGUCUGAACCAGCCAAGUAGCGUGCAGGAUGACGGCCCUAUGGGUUGUAAACUGCUUUUAUAAGGGAAUAAAGUGAGUCUCGUGAGACUUUUUGCAUGUACCUUAUGAAUAAGGACCGGCUAAUUCCGUGCCAGCAGCCGCGGUAAUACGGAAGGUCCGGGCGUUAUCCGGAUUUAUUGGGUUUAAAGGGAGCGUAGGCCGUCUUAUAAGCGUGUUGUGAAAUGUCGGGGCUCAACCUGGGCAUUGCAGCGCGAACUGUGAGACUUGAGUGCGCAGGAAGUAGGCGGAAUUCGUCGUGUAGCGGUGAAAUGCUUAGAUAUGACGAAGAACUCCGAUUGCGAAGGCAGCCUGCUGUAGCGCAACUGACGCUGAAGCUCGAAAGCGUGGGUAUCGAACAGGAUUAGAUACCCUGGUAGUCCACGCGGUAAACGAUGGAUGCUCGCUGUUUGCGUCUGACGUAAGCGGCCAAGCGAAAGCGUUAAGCAUCCCACCUGGGGAGUACGCCGGCAACGGUGAAACUCAAAGGAAUUGAC